UGAUGACAUUCUCCAGAAUCACCAUACAGCUUUGAUAAAAGUACCUCUGAACCCUUUCCAUCUGAUGACC
rnacentral:snoRNA from 1 species